CCUACGGGAGGCAGCAGUGGGGAAUAUUGGACAAUGGGCGAAAGCCUGAUCCAGCCAUGCCGCGUGUGUGAAGAAGGCCUUCGGGUUGUAAAGCACUUUCAGUGGGGAAGAAAGCCUUGGGGCUAAUACCCUCGAGGAAGGACAUCACCCACAGAAGAAGCACCGGCUAACUCCGUGCCAGCAGCCGCGGUAAUACGGAGGGUGCGAGCGUUAAUCGGAAUUACUGGGCGUAAAGCGCGCGUAGGCGGUCUGAUAAGCCGGUUGUGAAAGCCCCGGGCUCAACCUGGGAACGGCAUCCGGAACUGUCAGGCUAGAGUGCAGGAGAGGAAGGUAGAAUUCCCGGUGUAGCGGUGAAAUGCGUAGAGAUCGGGAGGAAUACCAGUGGCGAAGGCGGCCUUCUGGACUGACACUGACGCUGAGGUGCGAAAGCGUGGGUAGCAAACAGGAUUAGAUACCCUUGUAGUC
rnacentral:rRNA from 1 species